rnacentral:rRNA from 1 species
AGGAUCGGCCCGCGUCUGAUUAGCUUGUUGGUGGGGUAACGGCCUACCAAGGCGACGAUCAGUAGCUGGUCUGAGAGGAUGAUCAGCCACACUGGGACUGAGACACGGCCCAGACUCCUACGGGAGGCAGCAGUGGGGAAUAUUGGACAAUGGGCGCAAGCCUGAUCCAGCCAUGCCGCGUGAGUGAUGAAGGCCUUAGGGUUGUAAAGCUCUUUUGUCCGGGACGAUAAUGACGGUACCGGAAGAAUAAGCCCCGGCUAACUUCGUGCCAGCASCCGCGGUAAUACGAAGGGGGCUAGCGUUGCUCGGAAUCACUGGGCGUAAAGGGCGCGUAGGCGSCCGAUUAAGUCGGGGGUGAAAGCCUGUGGCUCAACCACAGAAUUGCCUUCGAUACUGGUUGGCUUGAGACCGGAAGAGGMCAGCGGAACUGCGAGUGUAGAGGUGAAAUUCGUAGAUAUUCGCAAGAACACCAGUGGCGAAGGCGGCUGUCUGGUCCGGUUCUGAC